GACGAACGCCGGCGGCGUGCUUAACACAUGCAAGUCGAACGGAAAGGCCCUGCUUUUGUGGGGUGCUCGAGUGGCGAACGGGUGGGUAACACGUGAGUAACCUGCCCUUGACUUUGGGAUAACUUCAGGAAACUGGGGCUAAUACCGGAUAGGAGCUCCUGCUGCAUGGUGGGGGUUGGAAAGUUUCGGCGGUUGGGGAUGGACUCGCGGCUUAUCAGCUUGUUGGUGGGGUAGUGGCUUACCAAGGCUUUGACGGGUAGCCGGCCUGAGAGGGUGACCGGCCACAUUGGGACUGAGAUACGGCCCAGACUCCUACGGGAGGCAGCAGUGGGGAAUAUUGCACAAUGGGCGGAAGCCUGAUGCAGCAACGCCGCGUGCGGGAUGACGGCCUUCGGGUUGUAAACCGCUUUCGCCUGUGACGAAGCGUGAGUGACGGUAAUGGGUAAAGAAGCACCGGCUAACUACGUG
rnacentral:rRNA from 1 species